GUCAACUUCUUUUGGUAACACUGUAACAAUUUUUGUUUUAUGUUUUGUUUUAUAUAGUCUUCCAAAGUCGGAAAAAGUGAAAGCAAUUGAAACAUAAAAUUUCUCUAAUUGUUUCUGCUUUGACUCAUUUACAGAAACAAAAUGAAGGCGAUAUAGAAAAUCAGACAUGACUAUGAGUGUGCUUGCAACAAGUCGCCCUGCUGUCUUGGUGGAGCUUGCCUUCAAAAAGGAUAUUCAGCCAAGGUUUAGAUAAGGUGACUGUGAACAUGCUUGCAAAUGAGAUGCCUUGCUGUCUUUGAUGGAGCUAGCCUGCAAACUGGAUGUUCUUCCAAGUACAGUAGGAGGGCUCUGAGAAAAUUUUAUCUGUUGUUAGCAAAGAGCGGAGUUCAGAAUGCUCCAGCCCAAGAGUAGAUUAAGCCAUGAGAAGCACAUAACUUUUGAUUAGUAAGUUACUUCUGUAUAUUAUGUUUAGCUAGCUUAAAGACCUGAAUCAUUGGUUUUGGAAUGCUGCCUUUUUUGUUCACAAUACUAUAAACAGACUGCUGUAUUCAAUAAAGGG
rnacentral:lncRNA from 1 species